rnacentral:ncRNA from 1 species
CCUGCGCGCCUUGCUUCAGGUGCCCCGAGUUGCCGUGAAUGGCGGCCAAGGGGUGAAACAGGGAAGCCGGUUCCAAUGCCGGCGCUGCCCCCGCAACGGUAGGUGAGUCAAACGUCGCUCAAGCAGACCGUGUGAAAACGUAGCGAGCGAAGGUCAGGCAAGGCCGAUGGCGGCCUCGCAAAAACAGGCGAAGAACGGACUGGGCUCGCAUUCGAGCUCACGAGCUGUAACUGAGCACUUUGAGCCUGUUUUUAACGCCGCAUGACCUGGCGCAGUAGUUUUCACGCAGUCUGCAAGGCCACUGUGCAUUGCACGGGAAGGCGCGGCGCAGAACCCAUGGUUCACUCACAAGCCCGGAGACCGGCCUGUCGCAGUUUCACGGC